rnacentral:rRNA from 1 species
UCGCACGAGAAAGUGGAGCAUCCAUGAGUACAGUGGCGUACGGGUGAGUAACACGUGGAUUAUCUACCUUCUAGUGGGGAAUACCUCCGGGAAACUGGAGACAAUACCGCAUAAGCUCGUAAGAGGAAAGCAGCAAUGCGCUGGAAGAGGAGUCCGCGGCUGAUUAGCUAGUUGGCGGGGUAACGGCCCACCAAGGCGAAGAUCGGUAGCCGGCCUGAGAGGGCACACGGCCACACUGGCACUGAAACACGGGCCAGACUCCUACGGGAGGCAGCAGUGGGGAAUCUUGCACAAUGGAGGAAACUCUGAUGCAGCGACGCCGCGUGAGCGAUGAAGCCCUUCGGGGUGUAAAGCUCUUUCGACGGGAACGAUAAUGACGGUACCCGAAGAAGAAGCUGCGGCUAACUACGUGCCAGCAGCCGCGGUAAUACGUAGGCAGCAAGCGUUGUUCGGAAUUACUGGGCGUAAAGAGUGUGUAGGCGGUGCUCCAAGUCUGGUGUGAAAUCUCCCGGCUUAACUGGGAGGGUGCAUUAGAAACUGGAAUGCUAGAGGAUGGGAGAGGUAAGCGGAAUUCCUGGUGUAGCGGUGAGAUGCGUAGAUAUCAGGAGGAACACCUGUGGUGUAGACAGCUUACUGGACCAUUUCUGACGCUGAGACACGAAAGCGUGGGUAGCAAACAGGAUUAGAUACCCUGGUAGUCCACGCCCUAAACGAUGCAUACUUGGUGUGAGCGAUUCAUUUCGUUCGUGCCGGAGCUAACGCGUUAAGUAUGCGGCCUGGGGAGUACGGUCGCAAGGCU